ACUAGUUCAAAGAAUAGAAAAUCCUUUUUGUUCUUUAAAAUCUACACUAUCGUUAUCCAAAUAGGUAAUAUCAUCAACAGGGGUGGGGGAAGAUGUUACCUAUCAAUAUAUAUUUAUACGUAUACAUCAAAAACCAAAAAACUAUACAGAUUGUGGAACACCUCUCAAAACCAAACACUAAUAAAUUAGUUUGAUGUAUGUGUGUAUAGAUUAUUUGCAAAUUUUUUA
rnacentral:lncRNA from 1 species